AUGUGAUCGUCUCUCGCAUAUCAAUAAGCGGAGGAAAGGAAACUAACAAGGAUUCCCCUAGUAACGGCGAGUGAAGCGGGAAGAGCUCAAAUUUGAAAUCUUAAAGGGUUUCCCUUUACGAAUUGUAGUUUAAAGAAGUGUUCUCUGUUGAGGUUUUGGUAAAAGUUCUUUGGAAUAGGACAUCAUAGAGGGUGAGAAUCCCGUAUUUGACCUUUACUUUCAACUUUGUGAUACACUUUCAAAGAGUCGGAUUGUUUGGGAAUGCAGUCCAAAAUGGGUGGUAAAUUUCAUCUAAAGCUAAAUAUUGGCGAGAGACCGAUAGCGAACAAGUACCGUGAGGGAAAGAUGAAAAGAACUUUGAAAAGAGAGUUAAACAGUACGUGAAAUUGUCAAAAGGGAAGCGUUUGACACCAGUGUUGUUUUUCUGAAAAUCAAUUAAAGAACUGUUUAUGCUAAGUUGUUUAGACUUUAUCAGCUAUCUGUUUAGUUUUGAGCUUUUCUUUAAUGCACUUUUCAGUUAACAAGUCAACAUCAAUUUCUUUUGCUGUAAAAAAGCUUGAGGAAGGUGGCUUGAGAUUCGUCUUAAGUGUUUAUAGCCUCUUGCCUAUGCAGUCGGAGAGAUUGAGGUCUGCAGCGUAGAUCCUUCGGGGCUAAAUGCAUUUGUGCUAAGUUAUAGCAUUUUAUAGACAACUUGUUGACUAUGAUUUGUCUUGUAGCUUACUCGCUUAUGUUAUUUUACCUACGCUUAGGAUGUUGAGCGCAUGUCUCUCUCU
rnacentral:rRNA from 1 species